rnacentral:lncRNA from 7 species
GCCUCCGAACACUUCUGCUCGAACCUUGUCUCCCGUCGCCUCUCUUCGUUCCCGUCGUAGCGUCCCUCUUCCACCUCUUCUCUCCCCGCUUCCUUGUCUAAAUCGAUUCAUCACCCAUUGCUUUCGUCCUUACUGCAGUGUCCAUUUUGGUUGUUUGGUGAAAUUUGUCGCUAUCUUCGUCGACUCUAGUUCGUCGUCCAUUUCUUAAAGUUCAAAUAGGCCUGCUUUGUCCCCUUUUUUCUCCCGUCCCGAGGUACGCGAUUGCAGCAGAUCCGGCUUCCUCCGCUUCAGAUCUCCUUCAAUCGUCGUCUUCCACUUCGCGUUUCCCUCUCCGUACUCAUAUGGCUUUGUCUGCAUGAAUGCUUUACUGGUCGCGAAGCCCUUUGUUUUCUCUAGUUUGCAGUUCGCAUAGCUGCCUCCUUUGGAUCUAAGGUUAGUUGUUGUCCACCCUCCUUACCCUAUCGAUUCUAAAUCUGGCGCGCCUAUGCCUGAGGUGAUGCAUCCUGAGCCCUUCUAAUAUCUCUUGCUACUCUAUCCGCGGCUCCGGUACUUCCAUUCCCCUGCUAGCCUCACGGACUGCUGCAUGUUGCUACCCCCGUCGCUUCCAUUCCCCUGCAAGCCCACGCUCUGCUAUGGAUUUCCCACCUAAAGUUGUUUGUCCAUUCAUGACCCAUGUUCAUGUGCAAUAGCUACAACUUUCAAGGUAUUUGAGAGAUUGCUCAAAAAGUUUGCCAGAUCUAAAGCAUCAGUUGAACGGUCAUAAUAGUGAAUCAACAAGGAACUCGGCGGAGCAUCUCUAAAAGGUUCAGCUUGGUUGUAAUCUAUAAACUGGAGGAAUGUAGAUACCAAUGACGUCUUACUCCAUCAGAAGCUACUAGCUCCUAAUGAAGAACCAAAUUUCUGAAAAAUACGGACUACAACAUUAUCCGCCAUUUUAGUAAUUUAUGAAACUAUAAACACGGUUUUUGUGACAUGUAAAUGGUAUUAUCUUCCAAAAAAUUUGCUAUUUUGUCACUUCUGUUUUGGGCUCUCUGCUAUUAUGUCACCCCGUGUCUAUGACUUAUGGGAUCAUUUAUCAUCUGUGUCUAUAAUUUAUGGGCCUAAUGGUAAAUUAGUGAAGUCCACAACUUAGAGUGACAAAAUAGCAAAUGGCUCUCUUCUUCUACAUGCGCCUGAGAAAUGCAAUACACCCUU